CCCUUUGAACCGGGCGUGGGAUUGGCCGUCGCCUGCCCACCCCGCGGCUGCAGCGUUCCCUGGGGCCUAGCCAACCGCGGGCAGGGCUGGGCAAGGCGGGAGGAGCGCGGACCCAAGAUCGGCUACGCUGCGUCUGCUCAGGCUGCGAGUUCCCGGCUCUGGGGACUCACCUUGCGGAGCUUACCCAGGCGGACUCUCCGCAGCCCCUGAUGGAAAUUUUCUAAUCCCGUGGCGAACCCCCGUACUUCAACAAAAGAAAACUGAGAUCCAGGAAAGGGAAGUGAUUUUCCAAAGACACACCUGUGAAAGCAGCCGUGUUGAACCAUGAAAGGACCUCAGGAAUGAAACCCACACACAGCAAAGCAACAAAGUGAAAGAAGCGUGGAUUCCUAAUGCAGGAGGCACUGAACCAAUCAAUACCCACUGCCCUCCAGACCUCCACAUGAAAGAAAAAAACUGCUGUCCUGUGAAGAAGACACUCCCCAGAUGCCAGCAACUUGAUAUUGGACUUCCUGCCUUUAGAAACAUUCCUUUAAGCCUCUCUGAAACUUGACCCUCUGGCAGGAACAGGUGCCAUUACAUACAGACACUCUCUCUCUUCCAAAUUCACCCUGUCAUAUCAAAGGGAAAACUGAAGUGGUCCACUGUAGACCUGACAGAUGAUCACAAACAGGAAACCAGCAAUCAGAAGUGCCUACUGAGCUCCCUACCCUGACCAUCACCUACAGCUACAUUUUACAGAUACAAAAUCAUUGUUUGUUCAACUUUCAUAUCAAAGGAUGCUAUUAGUUCAUUUCCAAAGGUGGGAAAAUGUUUCAACUUACUUUAUUACUUGUCUGCUACUUACUAUUUUCCCUCCGUUUGCCUGCCUGACUUCUUUUAACUCUUCACUCAACAAAUAUCUACUGACUACUGAGCACUUGCCAAGUGCUAGGCCAGAGCUGGAUGCUGUACUACGGGCAGAUGAAGUGCUAUGGGCAUCCAGAGGUGGAAGAAGAGGGUAUAGCGAAAGGGGAGAAAAGGCUGCAACAAUAUUCACUGAGCCCUGUGCUCCCAGGUCAUCACAUAGACUAUGUCAUUAUUCCUCCUAACCACCCACAUGAGUAAAUAGGGGCUAUUACUGAAGAAACAGAGGCUUACAAAGGUUGAGCAACUUGCCCAAGGUCAUCUAUCACAAGACACUACAAGUCAGACUGCUGAAGAGGGAGUUUCUGCUGAGAAGCUGAAGUGGGCAGCUCAUAUUGGAUAUGAAGGCUUCAAAGGAAUCUAAAUCCUAAUGAUCCCUCUAGAGCCAACAUGCAGCACCAGUUUUCUCUUCCACAUUUGAACUGCUCAUCCACUUCCGGCUCCAAGACCUCACUCUCCAUCUAAACUAGUCCCACGCCAUCCAUAUCUUUCUCCACUAACGCCACCCAAUCACAACCCCACAGCCUCUUAGUCAUGAGUCAUUUUUUAAAAACUGCAAACCAUGUAAUGAGCCAUGGCAAUAUGCAACCCUAAACCUCAACACGUGUUUUCCACAACAAGGCCACAGGUGGCAGAAGCGAGCCUAAGGCCGUAGGACACUAAGGCAGGACUCUCUGGCUUGAGCUUUCCAAAAAGGGAGGUGAGAGAAGGUCUACCUGCGGGAAGUCAUGCUGAAGGCCUGAGGCUGAGUCAAAGAAGGAGCCCCCUGGAGGCUCUGCAGUUCCUGGACUUCAGGUAGAGGAACUCUGCCAUGAACACCUCUGGAAUCGUGUCAUUUUGGGACAAUUAGAGAAUAUCAGUUUUCAGACUGAGUUCUAUGGGAAGGUGCCUGCACAACAAAGGAGAGACGGAAUGGACUUCAGGUCUUCCAAAAUACCCCUCAUGUUCACCAAGUUGCUCUCUGCUCUAAGAUACCAGAUGAGGGGGCCAGUGGGGACUGAAACCCAGUCCCCAGUCUGCUGGCCAAUCCCUUUGCCUGUGAGGCUGCUCUGUCCUACCAGAGAGGGCACUUUUCAUAAUUUGCACCAAGUACAGAAUAGGAUAGUGUAGCUUUACCCUUCUCCCUACCAUCAACCACAGACACAUCAACACAUGCACACAUACAGCCACACAAAUAUACCUACAGGCAUACACAUACAACACAGGCACAUACAUGUUUGCACAAAGUCACAUGUAGACACAAACGCAGAGCACACAGACACAAACACAGGCACAAACCCAUACUUACACUACACACACACACAAACACACACAGACACACAAAUGCAAAUUAAGCCACAAUGUAGCACAUAGAGAUAUAGACACAGACGCAAAUACAGUCACAUAGAGAUAUAGACACACACUUAUACACACAUAUAUGUAAAUAUACAGUCUCAUUCACUUUAUACCACACAUGUAUAAACAUACACAAUUGUAUGUAGACACACAUACACAUAGGUACUCAGACCGCAUAGAUACAUAUGUACACACAUACAAAUAUAUGCACAUACACAGAUAUAUAUAUACACACAUGCAUCUUUAACCAGAACAACUUUACUUUUGUCAGUUUUAUAUGACAGAGUCUUUAAAAAAAGAUUUCAUCUGGCUUGUGUUCUACUAUUAAAAGA
rnacentral:lncRNA from 1 species